UACGAGGGGGCGAGCGUUGUUCGGAAUUAUUGGGCGUAAAGGGUGCGUAGGCGGCCUGACAAGUCUGAUGUGAAAUCCCUGGGACUCCAACCCAGGGCCUGCAUCGGAAACUGUCGGGCUUGAGUAUGGGAGAGGUGAGUGGGAAUUUCCGGGUGUAGCGGUGAAAUGCGUAGAUAUCGGAAGGAACACCUGUGGCGAAAGCGGCUCACUGGACCAUUACUGACGCUGAGGCACGAAAGCUAGGGGAGCAAACAGGGAGU
rnacentral:rRNA from 1 species